rnacentral:rRNA from 1 species
GUCGAGCGGUAGAGAGAAGCUUGCUUCUCUUGAGAGCGGCGGACGGGUGAGUAAUGCCUAGGAAUCUGCCUGGUAGUGGGGGAUAACGUUCGGAAACGGACGCUAAUACCGCAUACGUCCUACGGGAGAAAGCAGGGGACCUUCGGGCCUUGCGCUAUCAGAUGAGCCUAGGUCGGAUUAGCUAGUUGGUGGGGUAAUGGCUCACCAAGGCGACGAUCCGUAACUGGUCUGAGAGGAUGAUCAGUCACACUGGAACUGAGACACGGUCCAGACUCCUACGGGAGGCAGCAGUGGGGAAUAUUGGACAAUGGGCGAAAGCCUGAUCCAGCCAUGCCGCGUGUGUGAAGAAGGUCUUCGGAUUGUAAAGCACUUUAAGUUGGGAGGAAGGGUUGUAGAUUAAUACUCUGCAAUUUUGACGUUACCGACAGAAUAAGCACCGGCUAACUCUGUGCCAGCAGCCGCGGUAAUACAGAGGGUGCAAGCGUUAAUCGGAAUUACUGGGCGUAAAGCGCGCGUAGGUGGUUAGUUAAGUUGGAUGUGAAAUCCCCGGGCUCAACCUGGGAACUGCAUUCAAAACUGACUGACUAGAGUAUGGUAGAGGGUGGUGGAAUUUCCUGUGUAGCGGUGAAAUGCGUAGAUAUAGGAAGGAACACCAGUGGCGAAGGCGACCACCUGGACUGAUACUGACACUGAGGUGC